rnacentral:sRNA from 1 species
AUGAGGAGGUCCCCAAAUGAUGCGAAGCAUCAUUUUUAUGCAUGGGACCGACGAACUGCCUCCGAAGCUUUAGCUGAGGCGGCGAUACCAUAA